rnacentral:rRNA from 1 species
GACGAACGCUGGCGGCGUGCUUAACACAUGCAAGUCGAACGGAAAGGCCCUGCUUUUGUGGGGUGCUCGAGUGGCGAACGGGUGAGUAACACGUGAGUAACCUGCCCUUGACUUUGGGAUAACUUCAGGAAACUGGGGCUAAUACCGGAUAGGAGCUCCUGCUGCAUGGUGGGGGUUGGAAAGUUUCGGCGGUUGGGGAUGGACUCGCGGCUUAUCAGCUUGUUGGUGGGGUAGUGGCUUACCAAGGCUUUGACGGGUAGCCGGCCUGAGAGGGUGACCGGCCACAUUGGGACUGAGGUACGGCCCAGACUCCUACGGGAGGCAGCAGUGGGGAAUAUUGCACAAUGGGCGGGAGCCUGAUGCAGCAACGCCGCGUGCGGGAUGACGGCCUUCGGGUUGUAAACCGCUUUCGCCUGUGACGAAGCGUGAGUGACGGUAAUGGGUAAAGAAGCACCGGCUAACUACGUG